UGCUAGAAACUGAACAAUAUUGGAGAGGAUGUUCUCCCUUUAAAUGUUUGAUGUCUAAGCUUAUUAUUUACCACUUUGGUUGUACUAUGCUCCAUCUUAUAUUUAUCUUAUCAAUUUUAUUUAUCUUAUCCACCUAAUCUAGCAAAAGCAUAUCACAGUUCAGAAAUCUAGCAAAUACAAUUAUUCUUUUAGUUUGAACCGUUGCCACAAAAUGUAAUAAAUACAUUUAUUCAUUAACUGCUGCAUUUCAGGUCGGAAAGCUGUUGCAUUUCCACCGCUCUUUGCCACUGUCCGUCACUCUCCUCGUUCCGCCACCACUUUUCUCUCAAGCUUUAAGAAAUAGCUCAAGGAGCAUCUGUUGGACAUUCCAAUGAUCCUUCACUCUCCGGUGAUCAUCCACCACUGGAUAAUGAGGAAGGAGAAUCGACGACACAUAAUAUAGAAGGGGAUGAUACAACAAGUAACUCCCUAAACGAGUCAGGUGAAGAAGAGCCUACACAUGAUGCACGUGGCCGCCAAUUCAUACAUCUUAGGGGGAAAUACUUGCAUCCUUCCGGUGUCGUGGCAAGCAUAUGUACGUAUAAUUUCAAGCAGAUAGUUGACCCGAAUGGAUUUAGCCAGAAAACUCUAACUGAGGAAUACAUUAACCUUUUAAGAAAUCUGCUAAUUGUGAGGCAUAUGAUCAAGACGAGUGUAAGAAAGCUUUGUUAGCAAGUGUAAAAUCAGAUACGGGGAUUUCAUUAGCUAUUAUAAAAAGAAGACAAAGAAACCUUCUUUUUACACAGAUGCCCAAUGGUCGAAUUACCAAAAAGGCUGGAAUUUACCCGAGAGUAUUGAAUCUUUUGAGAGGUUCUCGGCAAACCGUAGACAAGGGCUUGAGACUGCGCUUGGCACACAUUGUAAUGGAUGUAUAUCAUUUGCGGAGACAGCAGCAAAAAUGGUAAAAAUUAUAAUUGUAAUGUCCGUUUUUUUA